CACUGUUUUACAAGCUGCAGUAAAGAGCAUGAAAUCACUGCAGGACUCCAGCCGCACAUGGAACAACAGUGAAAAGACAGAUUUGGAAGCCAAUGGAAAUGUGAAUAAAGAGACGGGGUCUAGGUUACUGGUCAGAUACAGCAGCCCAGGAGUGCAGGGAUGUCAAAAAGGCAAAGCGUCACAGCGUCACAGCUCCCUCCCUUCCCCCCUGACGGCUUGCGGUAGAUGGGAUUCAUGGGCAGGCACCCCUCGGCGGUGACACCCAGGGCAGUCCGCACCCACCGCACCCAUCUUGCUCCGCCCCUCAACCACAUCAGGACCAGAUGAAACUACUUAUGUAUGCAACCAUGGCUGCGUGGACUCUGUCAGCCCAGAAAUUGAAAGAUGGUACAACUCUGACCAAAGAAGAGUGGCAGACAAAACUAUGUCGAGAUGGCAAAACUUACUGGAAGGAUUAGAAACCAGGUCUUUAAUAAACAAUGGGGGGAAAUUUUAAUUUAUUUGAAAGGAUAUUGUAAACAAUUGGUAGGAUUGACAGAAAACUUGCAGUAAAAAGUUGAACUAUGGAUUGACAAAGGAUUCAUAAUAAUAGAGUUAUGAAAGAGAUGCAGAGGGGGAAAUCAUUACAUUAAGAUCCGCAAUGAGGGGGAGAGUCAAAAUGGAUUAUAUGUUUAUGGGCAUAGUUCCUCAACAUUUUGAGAUGUGUAACACUCUAUGAUUUUUUAAAAGAAGACCAAGAGUAAUUUUUUUGUGAUGUGCUUAGCAGAAAUAAUCAGUAGCUCUGGGUGGAAACGUCAUAAGCCUAGCUCCAUUUUUAAUUUUUCUCCUGUGCAAGGGGCAGUAUUCUCAGUCGUAAACCAGUUUCUCCAGAUGAGACCUCGUGCCCACCAUUUUCAGCCGAUAUAAGAAUUGCCAGAGCAUGAGGCAGACUUUGGCCAUCCUUUUUCUGGCUUCCAUAUAAUAGAAUUUCCUUUGCAAGCCCAACUUUGCCAGCUUUUGGAAGCACACACACACACACACACACACACACAAACCAACAACCCGGCAUCAUUGUGAUGAACAAACAGUGACUUGGGGUAAUGAGACGGUUAUUCUUACAAUUGUUUGCAAUUUUCUUUUCCCUAUUGUUAGCAAUUCAUGCUAUAUUUUGAUGGGUAAGCUGUCGUGAUUUUGUAUUAAGCAAGGCAACUCUUUAAAUAUAAAAAGCAUACAUAAUUAGAUUGUCCUUAAUUUUUUUAAAAAAAUAAUAAUGCAUGAAUAAAGCUAAUUUGUCUUAAAUUGUUAACAAGGCAAUAGGAGAGAAACCAAUUGUUACUUUUGUAAAUACAAUGCAGAUGGUUACUAGCUGCCGUGCGUAAUCCUUCAUAGAUAAUAGAAUUGCCUCUAGCCAGUUAAUGUGCAGAACAUGCUGUUCCCUUUGUCAACAUUUUGUGUUCCCUAGAGAGAACACAAUGAGAUCUAUCUUAUGGUUUGUGGUGAUCGAUGUAUGGCUGAAUUGCCAGGCAAAACAUGUGCACACAGUCCUCAUAUGGGCAGGAAAGCAAAGUCUAAUUCUUGAGUUACAGUGGCUUUGAUAGGAUUAUGCCAACCCCCCUGUGGCUUUAUAAGGAGUUCAUCUAUGAACUGGACCUGCACAAUGCCAUCUCAAUUUAAAGUAGUUCUUUUGUAAAAUAAAAUCUCACGCUGCUCCCUUGCUGCACAACAACCCAUUUUUUUACUCGUGGUACAUAUGCAUACACGACAGAAACCCAGCAAAGAUGUGCAGACAACAAUUCUGGGCCUAAUGGAUUUAUGGAGGGUGAUCGUGCCAAUGUCCCCCUGUGACCUCUAUACAUCAAUCACUGGUUCAUCACAGAGCCUAUAAGCAUAUAUCUUGUGUGAAUGUAGGCUGAGUGUGGGGAGAUCCAAUCUACUAUAUAUUCUGGAAAGUAGUUUUUCCAUUUGUUUGUUUGUUCUCUCUGCGUUUGUACGCCUCUCGAGAUGUCUUCACCAAACAUGGCACAAGGCUUCUCAAGGUCCACUCUUUGUGGACGUUGGAUGCUGGCUGCCAUAUUGAAUCAAGGUGGCAGACCAAAAUGUGGCUUUGGCAUGACUCACCUGUUUUUUGGUAUCGGCUCUGCCACCUAUCAAGCUAUCAUCACCAAACUCUGCACAAGAGUUCCUGGAGUAAACCUGGUGGACUUCGUUGAC